GUUAGCAUUUCCUGUGGGCUGCAGAGGCUACUGUGCAGAAGCUAGAGCAGUGUGGGAGCCUCAGUGCCCCGGGGCAAGCUUCAGGCUGGAGCUGGUCUCUGCCAGCAUUGACAGGAUGGGCCAAUGGGCUGACGUCAAGUGAAUGAGAUUCAACAAGGCUGAGUGCUGAGUCCUGCACUUGGGUCUCAACAACCCCAUGAAUGUUCCAGAUGGCCGCGUACGAUUUAUCUGCAGGAUGCUCACCCAUCACCCACACCCAGACGUCAUUGUCAGCACCCAGCUUCCAGGUCACCCUCUUCCCGUUGGCUGAAAAGAAAGCAGCUCUUUGGGAAGGGCUGUUUGCUCAGCAGCUCCAUAUCCCACCACUGUGCCCCCCAGCAGCUAACAACAGCAAAGCAUCUCCCAAAGCUGCCAUGUGUGGGGACAGUUCAGCUGGGACACCAUGCACACCUCUCGUUUUGUUUCACAGUGCUGAAGCCAGGUCAGACAAGGAGGCAUUUCUGUGUCUGCAAGCAAGGGAGAAAACUCACCACUGUUUCCUUUCUUGCUUGAAUUCCUUGCCCCUGCCCUCCCCAGUCUAGGUGAGGGUGACCUAUCUGCAAACAGAGCACGUGACAGAAAGAUGGGAGAAAAGUGCUACCUUCCUGGCAUGCUGCAGAGUCCUGGCAAGGGAGCUGCAGGUUUAAAGGCACUAUGGGAACCCUCCUCCAGAUCUGGCGCCCCAGGACAGAUGUUCAAGUCCAUGUUUAUUUUACAAACAGAUUCAGAGGCCUCAUUUAGUGGGAAGCCUAAGGAGAUGCAUCUCCUGGGGGCAAGUAAGUCCUGUCUUCCCAGCUAGGGCAGUUGAGCAAUUUGCUCAAGAUGGCUUGUCUGGGCCAGGGAGUAAACCACUGUGUGCCUAGCCAAAACUCCUCUAUCUUAGGUGGGUUGGGUUUGGAAAUACAACUCCGGUAUGCCCCUGGGAGAAGAAAUUACUCUAAGGGCAUGUUACCUCUUAUUUCUAGGGAUCUAGUCAGAUCUCCUCCAGAGAGAGAGAGAAGCAGCCACCAGGCAGACGCUCACCUUAGCACAUAUUACUUCUUAUUUCUAGGAAGCUAGCCAGAUCUUUGCCAGAGGGAGAGAAGCAGCCACCAGGCAGACACUCACCUUUUCUCCGUAGUGGCUUCUUUGCUGAAGCCUUGUCCGCAGCAGCUUCUCUUUCCUCCCACCGUCUGAUCUGUUCCUGCCUCAUCUUGAAGAAGAGGAUCUGUUUCUGCUCCUCGCUGAGUUCUGCCAGCAGCAAAGGCAGCCCCAUGGCAAGUCAAGGGAGUGCAGCUGGUUUGAGGAAAGACAACUCGGAUGGUCAACAGACGAGGAACUGAAGACAAAUCCUGGCCUGACACAUCUUCCUGAUGGACCCUGCCCACGUGGUGAGCCUGGCAUGGGACAUCCCUGUCGGACAGGAUGAAGAGGAUGAGAAGGAGCACCCCUGUUCCUGCCCAGGAUGCUGAGUUGUGUCUGGUGCAUGCCGGCAAGGGAAAUCAAGAGAUUGGUUGGCAGCACUUUUGAUGACAGAGGCAGACUGACGGCUGUGCAGGAAUUGCAACACCAGUAGAGAGCACCUGGCUGGCCCGGGGUAGCAUGGACUUUCUGGACAGAGUCUUGAGGAAUGUUGCCAGCAGGCUGUUGGAAAUGGAGCUAGUGUCAGUAUUUGUGUGCUGCUUCUGCACAAAUCCUGUGAGUCUAAGGAACAAGCAUGCUAGGACAUAGCAAAGUAGGUAGGAAGGGGGCUGGUGGGACAGUAAUGUGGAGGCACAAAGGAUAUAGACAUGGCAGAAAGACCUGUGCCAGGGUGAAGUGGGAGUGUAUUUUAAAUCCUUCAGUCAAAUCAAUUAACCAUCUUACAGGAGAGGGGCUGGAUCCCUAAGGACCAAAAGUGUCAGGGGCACCUCCAGCUUCAGAGUAUGACUUCUGCCAGAUAAAGAGAAGAGAAGAGAAGAGAAGAGAAGAGAAGAGAAGAGAAGAGAAGAGAAGAGAAGAGAAGAGAAGAGAAGAGAAGAGAAGAGAAGAGAAGAGAAGAGAAGAGAAGAGAAGAGAAGAGAAGAGAAGAGAAGAGAAGAGAAGAGAAGAGAAGAGAAGAGAAGAGAAGAGAAGAGGAGAGGAGAGGAGAAGGAAGUGGAGGAUGAGACAGUGGGCACAAUACUGAAGGGGCAUAUACAGAACACAUUCAAUGAGUUGAAAUGGGGCAGCACAAGGCCAUUCUUCAUAAAGUCAGACUGGCAGGACAGCAUUUGCUGCAUGGCUCCCUUUUCCCCCAUCUCACCCCCAUGACAGGAUUAGGGAGGCAUCCCCCCACUUCUGAAUAUGAGUUGCCCUAAAACUGCUGGAGAUAGAGAUGAGCAAAAGCCCAGUGCAAUGAAGUUCCCAAGCACUUUCAGCAGUUAGAGCUUGGAACAGCUGGAGAAGCUGUAGGGAGGGAAACAAAGAGCUCCUCGAGGACCUCAAAGCAUGGAGAGAGUUCCACCAUAGCAUCAGGGCACCAGAAGCCAGGAGCAGGAGUCUUGGAAUGUGAAGUAACUAGGAGUUAGUGGUGAGCCCUCUUAUUUCUAUUUUGUUUCUCUGGUUACUUUAUAUUUUCCUUAUUAAAAAUGUU